rnacentral:rRNA from 1 species
GACGUAGGGCGCGAGCGUUGUCCGGAUUUAUUGGGCGUAAAGAGCUCGUAGGCGGCUUGUCGCGUCGACUGUGAAAACCCGCGGCUCAACUGCGGGCUUGCAGUCGAUACGGGCAGGCUAGAGUUCGGUAGGGGAGACUGGAAUUCCUGGUGUAGCGGUGAAAUGCGCAGAUAUCAGGAGGAACACCGGUGGCGAAGGCGGCUCUCUGGGCCUUACCUGACGCUGAGGAGCGAAAGCGUGGGUAGCGAACAGG